GACGAACGCUGGCGGCGUGCCUAAUACAUGCAAGUCGAACGCAUUUUCUUUCACCGUAGCUUGCUACACCGACAGAAAAUGAGUGGCGAACGGGUGAGUAACACGUGGGUAACCUGCCCAUCAGCGGGGGAUAACACUUGGAAACAGGUGCUAAUACCGCAUAAUUCCAUUUACCGCAUGGUAGAUGGGUGAAAGGCGCUUUUGCGUCACUGAUGGAUGGACCCGCGGUGCAUUAGCUAGUUGGUGGGGUAACGGCCUACCAAGGCUGCGAUGCAUAGCCGACCUGAGAGGGUGAUCGGCCACACUGGGACUGAGACACGGCCCAGACUCCUACGGGAGGCAGCAGUAGGGAAUCUUCGGCAAUGGACGCAAGUCUGACCGAGCAACGCCGCGGGAGUGAAGAAGGGUUUCGGAUCGUAAAACUCUGUUGUUAGAGAAGAACAAGGAUGAGAGUGGAAAGUUCAUCCCUUGACGGUAGCUAACCAGAAAGCCACGGCUAACUACGUG
rnacentral:rRNA from 1 species